UGGCAGGCGGUUUCUUAAGUCUGAUGUGAAAGCCCCCGGCUCAACCGGGGAGGGUCAUUGGAAACUGGGGAACUUGAGUGCAGAAGAGGAGAGUGGAAUUCCACGUGUAGCGGUGAAAUGCGUAGAGAUGUGGAGGAACACCAGUGGCGAAGGCGACUCUCUGGUCUGUAACUGACGCUGAGGAGCGAAAGCGUGGGGAGCGAACAGGAUUAGAUACCCUGGUAGUCCAC
rnacentral:rRNA from 1 species